rnacentral:pre_miRNA from 1 species
CUUGUACCCCCUCCGUCCAAAAAUACUUGUCAUUGAAAUGGAUGUAUCUAGAUGUAUUUUAGUUCUAGACACAUCCAUUUUGAUGACAAGUAAUUCCGGACGGAGGGAGUACUUG